rnacentral:rRNA from 1 species
UACGUAGGGCGCAAGCGUUGUCCGGAAUUAUUGGGCGUAAAGAGCUCGUAGGCGGCUUGUCACGUCGGGUGUGAAAGCCCGGGGCUUAACCCCGGGUCUGCAUUCGAUACGGGCUAGCUAGAGUGUGGUAGGGGAGAUCGGAAUUCCUGGUGUAGCGGUGAAAUGCGUAGAUAUCGAGAGGAACACCUGCGGCGAAGGCGGGUAGCUGGGCCGACACUGACGCUGAGACGCGAAAGCGUGGGGAGCAAACAGG